CCAGCAACGGCUAGCCUUAACAAUUCCAUAUACCAGCAACAGCUAGCCUUAACAAUGCCAUAUACCAGCAACGGCUAGCCUUAACAAUGCCAUAUACCAGCAACAGCUAGCCUUAACAAUGCCAUAUACCAGCAACGGCUAGCCUUGACAAUACUGUAUACCAGCAACAGGUAGCCUUAACAAUGCCGUAUACCAGCAACAGGUAGCCUUAACAAUG